rnacentral:ribozyme from 13 species
UUCUUCUUCUUCUACCACUUCUUCUGGUUCUUUCUUCUCUUCUCUUCUCCCCUCUCCCUAUCCCUCUUCUUCUUCUUCAAAAAGAAAAGAUUCUUUGGAGAGAAAAUCGAGAUCUGAAAAGACUCAAUUUUUUGGGAGAAAUUUUAGUUCUUCUCGUUUGAAAGAAUCUUUGA